GUCAGAUUUUUAAUCACUCUUACCACUUUUGUUCUGAAGUUUUGUAUGUAUGUGUGACUUAACCUCCACCCACCCUUAUCCUACCUUGCUUCCCAUUCACUUUAUAAAGAUAAAAGAAUUUACACAACACCAUUGUUAGCCUCAAUUUUUUAUGUAAAAAAAACCCCACCAUGUUUUUUUUUUAUUAUUUAGGUUUUGGCGAUCGUAGAAUAUUGAUUUUGUGUACCUAACCUUGUUUCUGUGUCCAAAAGUAGAAUACUGCUUUAAUAACGCAACACCCCUCCAUUUUGUUCUGCAUGCACCGGAUUCUUAAUAAGUUAUCUGCUACUUCUGUAUUUUAUUCAUCCAUAAUUUGUGUGAUAUAGAAUGAACACAUAGCAUCUGUGAAUGUUGUUUAAAUGUUUAUUGCAAAGUAUAUAUGGGACACCGCAUUUAUGAUGUCAUCCAUGGCGAUUGUUUUCUUUUUUAUAUGAUACAUAACAUCCACUUAUAGAUAUGAAAUGUCAAAUAAAAAAGUCUAAUGGAACAG
rnacentral:sRNA from 1 species